GUGCAUGGUUGUCGUCAGCUCGUGUCGUGAGAUGUUGGGUUAAGUCCCGCAACGAGCGCAACCCUUGUCUCGUGUUGCCAGCAUUUGGUUGGGGACUCGCGGGAGACUGCCGGGGUUAACUCGGAGGAAGGUGGGGAUGACGUCAAAUCAUCAUGCCCCUUAUGUCCAGGGCUUCACACAUGCUACAAUGGCUGGUACAGAGAGUUGCGAUACCGUGAGGUGGGGCUAAUCUCGUAAAGCCAGUCUCAGUUCGGAUUGGAGUCUGCAACUCGACUCCAUGAAGUCGGAGUCGCUAGUAAUCGCAGAUCAGCAAUGCUGCGGUGAAUACGUUCCCGGGCCUUGUACACACCGCCCGUCACGUCAUGAAAGUUGGUAACACCCGAAGCCGGUGGCCUAAACUCGUUAGGGAGCCGUCGAAGGUGGGAUUGGCGAUUGGGACGAAGUCGUAACAAGGUAGCCGUACCGGAAGGUGCGGCUGGAUCACCUCCUUU
rnacentral:rRNA from 1 species